AAACCCGCGAGGGUUUGUCCGAAGGAAGCCCGAGCGCAAACGUGCGAGCCGACGGACAGACAAAAUCGCCUUGAACAGCCGCAGGCUGGCCCGAAGGGCGAGCCCCAGGGACGGGGCGAGUAAACUGCAUAGAAGGCCUGGUCCCUGGGCGAGUCAGCCAAGGAUGACGAAGCCCAUCAGGUGCAAGGGAUAGGGUAAAUGCAGCGGUUGUGCACGGAAAGCUGAUCUGC
rfam:Methylothermaceae bacteria B42 Contig28, whole genome shotgun sequence.